rnacentral:lncRNA from 1 species
CUAGAGCAGGUUCUAGAGCGGGUUCUAGAGCGGGUUCUAGAGCAGGUUCUAGAUCGGGUUCUAGAGCGGUUCUAGAUUGGGUUCUAGAGCAGGUUCUAGAGCGGGUUCCGGAGCGGUUCUAGAGCGGGUUCUAGAGCGGGUUCCGGAGCGGGUUCCGGAGCGGGUUCCUGGGUUCUGGAGCUGGAGCUGGUUCUGAGAGCAUCUUGUCCCGAUCCCCGGGGUGGGUGGUUGGCAAUCCCUGGCUCUCUGAAGAGCCAAGGCAGAGUGAUGCUGUCACCUCCGAAUGACUCAGUAGCUAUAAAUCAGAGCAGGAAACCUCUAGCUCAGAGACAUAUCAUGAUGGAACCCAUCUGACUGGGCCAUCUUAUUCCUGCCCUAGGCAGGGUGGGUUCCUCUUAUCUGGGGCCUUUGUUUCUAUGGGAUCAAAACAAGCUCUGAGCUGCAGCUGUGAUUGAAACCAGCUUGGCCUUUCUGAACCUUUCUCUUCCUCGAGCUGGGGUUGGUGUGUGGCUCUCCAAGCCAGAAGGCUGAUGUCAGGAUUGCUUCAUUCAGCAACGCUGGGUAAGGGCUAAUAAACACCACUAAGAGCUUGCUAAUAGCUCUAAUUAGACUGCAGCUGAUGCUUCAUAAGUGGUUCUUUCCUCUUCCACCCCUUUCUUGCAGCUAUUUCCUGGUGGAGUUUAGGAAGGCGGUCUGGCACGGUUUUCUCAGGGCAGCCGUCUGCUUCUAGGCUGAGCUGAGGUGUGGGUGAUACAUUUGUCGCAGAGUGUUGCUGGGAAUAUGCCUAAUUUGGGAGUUUGAUAGUCCAGAGGUAGAAUGAAAAUGAAGCUUUGAUGAGUUCCUCACCCUUGUUGAUGGGGCCUUUCCUGGCUCUGAGAGGAUCAGAAGUUGCUUUCCAAAAUGCAUGAGGAAGAGAAGGAGUUUUGUUUAAAAAAAAAAAAGGAAGAAAAAUGAAAGCUUUGCUGUAGUUUUCCUGACACGAUGUCUCUUCUGUACAUGAGCUGGCCUGAGCUGAAGGAUUCCACGCUCCUACAGCAGCGUCAUGGAAAACACCACUUGCCACAGCACAGAACGAGUUCCUAUAACGCAGCUGAACAACCUGCUGUGCAACCUUCCUCCACAGGGAUUCAUGGGCAUAUUUUGAAAGCCUCUUUGCUCCAAGCCCCCACAAAAAAAAAAGGAAAAUCAAACCAAACAUACUUUGGAAUAAGCUACUGGAGCAGAUGACUUGGAAAUGGCUAGCGCUGGCGUUGGAUGCAGGCAUAUAUCCCCUGAUUCUGUGGACUUGAAAGCAAGUGAGCACAGUGAUUGUGGUAGCAGGUCUUCUGUCCUUCUUACAGAGAUAAAAGCAAGGAGCAGACUGGAUUUUUGUGGGAGAGAGAGCUUUUCAAGAAAUGCCCUCCUUGAAACCUCUUAUGGAAAUAAAAGGAACAUCUACAGCUGUGAAAGAAGCUAA